GUUAAUAUAUAAAACUAUCCACUUUCGUAUUGUAAAGAUAAAAAUUGUCCACUAAGAUAAAAAUAAUAAAAACUGUCCACUUUUUGAUUGAAAAGACCGAAAUACCCCUUACUUUAAAAUUUAAAAAAAUGGCCACUCAUUUCUCUCUUUCUCUCCUCUCUCUCUUCACCUUCACGUCUCUCUCUCUCUCUCUCUCUCUCUUCCUCUUCCUCUUCUUCUCGUCCUCGCCGCCGCUCCACCACCGCUCCACAGUUGCCGCCCACCACCACCGCUACACUGCUGUUCUGAGACGGAGGGAGCCGCGCACGCAGCAGCGUUGCUCCGCCACUGCUGACUCGCCCCACCCCUGAAUUCCAAUUCGCCUCGCCGGAGUCGUUGCAGCGGCUGGGCAGAUCUGGCGUGGGCAAUAGAGGAUGGGGUCGGACGGCGGUGGGUGGCGCGGAGGCUGGUGAGGAUCUGGUGGUUCUGGCGGUGGAGCUAGGGGGUUUUGCUGCGGAAACCCUAGAUCUGAAGCGGUGUUCUCGGAUUCGACGGAAACCCUUGCAAGGGACGAAUCAACUCACACUACUCACAGAAUCUUCAUCUCCUCGCAAAAUAUUUCACUCCUUUCGUCGGCAUCACAUUCAUCAAUCGACAAAAUGAAGAUUAAGAUUGUGGUGAGGGUGUCGAUGAACGACGAGAAUCCCGAUCCAAAGCCCUAAAAAUUUCGGUGGGGAUAUCGGGCGUGGAAUCGGCGGCGCUGGCGGGGGCGUCGAAGGAUCAGGUGGUGGUGGCGGGAGAGAGCAUCGACGCCGUGGAGCUCACGCGGCAGCUGAGGAAGGGCGUGGGUCACGCGGAGCUUGUGAGCGUGGGCGAGGACAA